rnacentral:rRNA from 1 species
UACGUAGGGGGCUAGCGUUGUUCGGAAUUACUGGGCGUAAAGGGCUCGUAGGCGGCCAACUAAGUCAUACGUGAAAUCCCUCAGCUUAACUGGGGAACUGCGUGUGAUACUGGAUGGCUUGGAUUUGGGAGAGGGAUGCGGAAUUCCAGGUGUAGCGGUGAAAUGCGUAGAUAUCUGGAGGAACACCGGUGGCGAAGGCGGCAUCCUGGACCAAUAUUGACGCUGAGGAGCGAAAGCCAGGGGAGCAAACGGG